rnacentral:rRNA from 1 species
CCUACGGGGGGCUGCAGUGGGGAAUAUUGGACAAUGGGGGCAACCCUGAUCCAGCCAUGCCGCGUGUGUGAAGAAGGCCCUCGGGUUGUAAAGCACUUUCAGUGAGGAAGAACGCCUGGUGGUUAAUACCCAUCAGGAAAGACAUCACUCACAGAAGAAGCACCGGCUAACUCCGUGCCAGCAGCCGCGGUAAUACGGAGGGUGCGAGCGUUAAUCGGAAUUACUGGGCGUAAAGCGCGCGUAGGUGGCUUGAUAAGCCGGUUGUGAAAGCCCCGGGCUCAACCUGGGAACGGCAUCCGGAACUGUCAAGCUAGAGUGCAGGAGAGGAAGGUAGAGUUCCCGGUGUAGCGGUGAAAUGCGUAGAGAUCGGGAGGAAUACCAGUGGCGAAGGCGGCCUUCUGGACUGACACUGACACUGAGGUGCGAAAGCGUGGGUAGCAAACAGGAUUAGAUACCCGUGUAGUC